AGAAAUGAGUUACAAUAUAUUCUGUUUGUUAUUAUGUAUUAUAAAGAUGUGACUCUAUUAAAGAAGUAGAGGAUAGAAAAGGUUCAUAUCCUUUUAGAAACAUGCUUCCUAAACAGAUUUUGGAUUAUUUACUGAUAUGAAUACUGUGAAUUCUCCUGAAGCCAGAGGAUCCUUUUGAUUUUUGCACUUUUUGAAAAAAAAAAAAGAUGCUUUCGAUAGAGAACGUUGGAUCUCCAUACUUGAAAAACUAUGUGAUGGGGUUGGGGGUCUGGAGAGAAGCUUCUUUUUCGAGAAUUACUUUCACUGGGUCUCGUAAUUUCAAACUGCUAUUUGCUCUGUAAAAGAACAUCUUUGUAAAUGUGGUAGCUUCCACUGCUGACUGUAUGUUCUUCCCAUGCUGGGUAACUCUAGCACUCUCAGAGAAUAGUAACAUCUCCAAUUUCCUUACAUCAAGUGCAGAAUAACCCUUCUGUAAAUUAAAAGUGCUAUACAAACUUGAUAUAUCGAUUUGACCUAAUUUCCUUUUGCCAGGAUUGGCUUUUUCAUUAUCCUUUCCAGACAUUUGUUUUUGCUUUUUUUUUUUUUCCAGUGGGAAUUAUUAUUUAAUUUGGGCUGCCUUAUCUAGCAAAAAUUCUUUCUCCAUCAUCCUCCCUUAUUCCUUCUUCCUGCCCCGGACUGUCACUGAUUCAUUCUGAGUUUUCAAGUCUCAAGUACUGAAUGUUUGUAUCCUCCCAGAAUUCAUAUGUCAAAACCCUGAUUCCCAACAUGACGGUGUUUGGAGGUGAAGAGAAGGCAGUUAUCUACAAGCCAGGAAGAGGGCUCUCACCAGAACUUGACCAUGCUAGCACUCCGAUCUUAGGCUUCCAGCUUCCAGAAAUGGUACAGUACUCUCUCCUUAUCCACGGUUUCAUUUUCCAUGGUUUCAGUGAUUCAGUUACUCAAGGUCAACUGUGGUCGGGAAGUAUAUGAUCCUACUGAAAAACCGUCAAAAGGCUAGGGAAACAAGCAAAACUAUACUCUGGGACUACACCAUACUAAACAGCUUUUGCACAUCGAAGGAAACCAUCAACAGAAUGAAAAGGCAACCUACUGAAAAGGCAACAAAGGGAGAAGAUUGUUGUAAGUGAUAUAUCCAAUAGGGUGUUGAUAUCCAAAAUACAUAAAGAACACAUUUUUUUAAUUUCAUUUUUUCGAAGACAUAUUUCUUUUAGAGCAGUUUUAGGUACACAGCAGAAUUAAGGGGAAGUUAGAGAUUUACCAUAUGGUCACUGCCCCAACCUGAAUAACCUUUCCCAUUAUCAACACCCUCCACCAGAGUUGUAUAUUUGUUACAAUUGUUCAACCUACAUUGACACAUCAUAAUCAUCCAAAGUCUGUAGUUCACAUUACAGUUCACUCUUGGUGUUUUACAUUCUUAGUUUGGACAAAUGUAUAAUGACGAACAGUCAUCAUUUGAUGACAUAUCCAUCAUCCAUCCAUAGGGUAGAGGAUUUUCACUGUCCUAAAAAUCUUCUGUGCUCCACCUAUUUAUGCCUCUUCCUUUAAACACUGAGUGACUGAUUCUUUUACUGUCUUCAUAGUUUUUUUUUCCAAAAUGUCUCAUAGUUGGAAAUAUACAGUGUGUACCCUUUCCAGAUUGGCUUCUUUUACUCAGUAAUAUGUAUCUAAGUUUCUUCCAUGUUUUUUCAUGGCUUGAUAACUCAUUUCUUUUUAGCAUUAAGUAAAUGGAUAGACUACAGUUUGUUUAUCCAUUCAUCUACUGAAGGACAUCUUGGUUUGCUUCCAGUCUUUGGCAAUUAUGCAUAAAGCUUCUAUUAAUAUCUGUGUGCAAGCUU